rfam:Pan troglodytes isolate Yerkes chimp pedigree #C0471 (Clint) chromosome 5, whole genome shotgun sequence.
CGCUCCAGGGGAAUCAGGGCAUCGCCUCCUUUUCUGGGAGGACACUCCCUUCUGAUGGUGAAUGGGAACUCCCUUCCUCCUGCAGCAGCCUGCCUGCAGCCGUCCUGGUAGAACAGUGUGGACAUUGCAGAAGCUGUCACUGCCCCAGAAAGAAAGCACCCCAGAGCC